rnacentral:rRNA from 1 species
CAGAGUUUGUCAUGGCUCAGGACGAACGCUGGCGGCGUGCCUAACACAUGCAAGUCGAGCGGAGACAGUGAGUAGCUUGCUAUGAGCUGUUUUUAUCGGCGGACGGGUGAGUAACGCGUGAGCAACCUUUCCCAGACAGGGGAAUAACACACCGAAAGGUGUACUAAUACCGCAUAAGACCACGGGAUCACAUGGUUCUGGGGUAAAAGAUUUAUCGGUUUGGGGUGGGCUCGCGUCCGAUUAGGUAGUUGGUGAGGUAACGG